UACGUAGGGGGCGAGCGUUAAUCGGAAUUACUGGGCGUAAAGGGUGCGUAGGUGGCUUGUUAAGUCAGGGGUGAAAGUUUUCGGCCCAACCGGAAAAUGGCCUUUGAUACUGGCGAGCUCGAGUGCGUGAGGGGUAACCGGAACGAGCAGUGUAGCGGUGAAAUGCGUAGAUAUUGCUCGGAAGGCCAACGGCGAAGGCAGGUUACUGGUGCGCAACUGACACUGAGGCACGAAAGCGUGGGGAGCAAACAGG
rnacentral:rRNA from 1 species